AACGAACGCUGGCGGCAUGCCUAACACAUGCAAGUCGAACGAGACCUUCGGGUCUAGUGGCGCACGGGUGCGUAACGCGUGGGAACCUGCCCUUAGGUUCGGAAUAACUCCCCGAAAGGGGUGCUAAUACCGGAUAAUGUCUUCGGACCAAAGAUUUAUCGCCUUUGGAUGGGCCCGCGUUGGAUUAGCUAGUUGGUAGGGUAAAAGCCUACCAAGGCGACGAUCCAUAGCUGGUCUGAGAGGAUGAUCAGCCACACUGGGACUGAGACACGGCCCAGACUCCUACGGGAAGCAGCAGUGGGGAAUAUUGGACAAUGGGCGAAAGCCUGAUCCAGCAAUGCCGCGUGAAUGAUGAAGGCCUUAGGGUUGUAAAGCUCUUUUACCCGGGAUGAUAAUGACAGUACCGGGAGAAUAAGCGCCGGCUAACUCCGUG
rnacentral:rRNA from 1 species